rnacentral:tmRNA from 1 species
GGGGGCGCACCGGUUUCGAUCGGUUUCGUCUGGGCCCGGGCUGCGUGUCGGGGAUCUCAGGUCACCCCGUAAAAUCCUCCCGAGGCGGCAUUUGCAUGCCAACAAUUACUCUCUCGCCGCCUGAUCUGAUCAGGUAGCCGUCACCCCGGGAACGCCUGCGGCCCGGAAGUGACGCCAUUAGCGGGCUGGCCGGUGCGCACUGCCUGGGGGCAAACCGGCGAGACUUUCCUGGGCUGGUGCCCGAAGAGCGCGUCCGUGCGCGACGAGGGGACGAGAACCAAAGCGCGGGACACACACGUAGAUGCCUCGGUCAGGGUGAUUCCGGGACGCGGGUUCAAUUCCCGCCGCCUCCACCA